CCUCUUCUCUUGUCUUUUUCACCUCCUCAAACUCAUCUCCCAAUGCAAUGCCUUGAUGACCAGAGAGCUCCUCUGCUGCAAUUGCAGCAUCAUCUUUACUAUGCCCCUAAUUUUACUUUCUCUUCCAAAUUUGACCUCUGGGACCCCAACACUGAUUGUUGUUCUUGGGAAGGAGUCACUUGUGAUGCUUAUGGCCAUGUCGUUGGCAUUGGUCUUAGUUACAAAAACCUUUCAGGCAGCUUCCACUCCAUAUUCGAUCUCCAUCAUCUUCAACACCUUAAUCUUGCUGGAAACAACUUUAAUACCACUCUGUUUUCCUAUGGGUUUGAUAAACUCCAAAAUCUAACUCAUCUCAACCUUUCAAGCUCAUGUUUCCAUGGCCAAAUUCCAGUGGAGAUCUCAUUCUUAAAAAGGUUAGUCUCUCUUGAUCUAUCCAAUCAAUAUUCCUGUUAUUUGCGAUACUACACCAUUCUUGACCCAUAUAGAGGCGUCUACUACUACUAUCCAUUGCCUUACGAACUUCAACAGCCUCUUAAAUUAGAGAAUCCAAACUUCAAGACAUUAAUCAAGAAUUUGAGGUUUCUCACAGAGCUUUAUUUGGAUGGGGUAAACAUUUCAUCUCAAAGUGCUAAAUGGUGUGAAACCACAUCUCUUGUACUUUCCAACCUGCGUGUGUUGAGUCUGUCAAACUGUGGCUUGAAAGGUCCAUUAUGUUCUUCACUCUCAAGACUCUCUUUUCUUUCCAAACUUAUCCUUGAUUGGAACCCAAUCUCUUAUUUACCUCCCAAUUUCUUGGAAAUUUCCUCUCGUUUGGUUUCUCUCAGUUUGAGGAACUGCAAUUUGAAUGGGCAAUUUCCAACCGGAAUUCUCUUAUUGCCACAAAUUCAAAGCGUUGACAUUUCAUUGAAUGACCAACUUAUGGGUCAGUUGCCAGAAUUUCCAGCAAACAAUGCUUUACAGAGUUUGUCGCUUUUUUAUACAAAUUUCAGUGGAAAACUACCUCAAUCAAUUGGUAAUCUCAAAUUCUUGACUAAUUUGAAGCUGUUUAGUUGCAAUUUUUUUGGACCCAUUCCAUCGUCAAUUGCAAAUCUUAGUCACCUGGUGAACUUGGAUCUAAGUUCAAACAAGCUUUCUGGAUCAAUACAUUCUUCUUUAUUUACUCUUCCAUCGUUGAAGAUCUUGUGUCUUGGAGACAAUCAAUUGGUUGGGAAAAUUGAUGAGUUCCCCAAUGCAUCUUCUUCUUUGAUUCAAGAAUUACAUAUAGGCAAUAAUUAUUUAACAGGAACAAUCCCGAAGUCAAUCCUCCAACUUCCAAGGCUUGAAGGGCUUUAUAUCGGAGGCAAUAGCUUCAGUUCCAUGAAGCUUGACAUGUUUGUCCAACUUAAGAACUUAAAGGAUCUCGAAUUAUCCAAAGUAAGUUUGUUAAUUGAAAGCGACAACAGAAGUCUUACUUUUCCCCAAUUAGAGACCCUAUGGCUAAUGUCAUGCAACCUUACUGAAUUUCCAGAAUUCAUUAAAAGGCAAGACAAGUUGGUUGACUUAGAUCUUUCUAACAAUCAUAUCCAUGGUGUUGUGCCUAAUUGGUUGUGGAAGAGCAGCCUUUCAUCCUUACACCUUUCUUUCAAUGUGAUUGAUUUUCCAAAACAACUUACUUUAAGUGAUUCAAACUUCUCUUUCCCAAUGUUGAGGGAAUUGUCUCUGGAAUCUUGUAACUUAAGCGCAUUUCCGGAGUUCUUAAAGAGUCAAGAAAAUAUAGGACAUCUUGAACUUUCAAAUAAUAAAAUAAGUGGUGCAAUACCAAACUGGGUGUGGAAGAAAAGUUUGCGUGUUCUCAAUCUUGCAAAUAACCAUAUCUCAUCUUUGGACCAACUUUUACCCAAUCAGAGUUCAACUUCUUCACAAACCUCCUUGGCUAGACCUAUUUGCAAUUUGAGUCAACUUAUAAAUUUCAAUGCAUCUCAUAACAAUUUGAGCGGCAAGAUUCCAAAUUGCUUAGGCAAAAUGAAUGAUCUCUGUUUGUUGGAUCUGCAAGGAAAUAACUUCAGUGGAAUGUUACCAAAAUUUUCAAAAGCAACCCACUUAUAUAUUCUCAAAGUUAGUGAGAAUAGAUUGGAAGGGAAGUUGCCCAGAUCAUUAGCUGAAUGCACUCAGCUUGAAGUUUUGGACGUGGGAAACAACAAGAUGAAUGAUACGUUCCCUUUUUGGUUGGAGAAAUUGCCUUACUUGACGGUUCUAAUAUUGCGGGAAAACAGAUUUUAUGGUCAAAUUAAACAUAGAUUUGUUUUCCCAACUUUGGAUGUGUUGGACAUUGCUUCAAACCAGUUUUCUGGUGAACUAUCCAUUGAUUUCCUUCAAGCCACUCGACUAAGGUCACUCAAAAUAGGUGGGAAUAAAUUAGAAGGGAAGUUGUCGAGAUCAUUAGCCAAUUGUAAAGCACUUGAGGUUCUGGACCUUGGAAAUAAUAUGGUUCAUGAUACAUUCCCAUUUUGGUUAGAGAAGCUGCCUUCCUUGAAGGUUCUCAUUUUACGAGCAAACAGAUUCUACGGCACAAUUACAAAAUUCGACACGAAACAUGGGUUUCCAAAGCUACGCAUAUUGGACAUUGCUUCCAACAAUUUUUCAGGCGACUUGUCCAUUGAAUUUUUGCAAAGCUUGAAGGCAAUGAUGCAGUUAACAAAUGACGACAAAGCUAAGCUGGAUUACAUUGGAGAGAAUUAUUAUCAAGAUUCAGUGACAAUUUUCAACAAAGGGAUUGAGCUGUUUUACGAGAAAAUCUUAACCACUCUUACUUGUCUUGACCUUUCCAACAAUAGUUUCCAUGGGAGAAUAUCAGAAGAAAUACAAAUGCUGAGGUCACUCAAAGUGCUAAACUUGUCCUAUAAUAGCUUCUCCGGUGAAAUCCCAGUAGCAUUUGAAAACCUAAAAGAUCUCGAGUCUUUGGAUCUCUCACAGAAUGAGCUGUCAGGGAAGAUUCCUCCACAUCUUACAAGUUUAACUUUCUUAGCGGCAUUGAACUUGUCUUACAACCAACUUGAAGGGAGCAUACCACAAAGCAACCAAUUCAUUACAUUUACAAAUGAUUCCUACCGUGGGAACCCAAAAUUGUGUGGGCUGCCAUUGUCAAGGAAAUGCAAUGAAGUCGGUCUUCCAGUGGCACCACCUCCACGGCGAGAUGAAGAAUCAUGGUUAUAUGCUAUGUCUACUUGGAAAAUUGCGUUGAUAGGUUAUACUAGUGGAUUAGUCGUUGGGCUAUGUAUUGGAUAUACAGUGCUGAAUGAGUUGGGAAACAAAUGGGUUGACAAGUUCAAAAAGCGUGGGAAAAGAAAUAGAAGAAGAUGUAGGUGACUGGAUCAGAAUUCUUGCUUCAUAAUUAGCUGGUAAGCAUUUGUCUUUCUAAUUUGAACAGAUAGUUGUUGAUAUCUAUAUAGGUUUUCAUAACCUCAUUUUUUGCUGUCUUUACCAAGUUCACUAUCAUAUCGUACUUGUAAUUUGGUGUUACCAUUGAGCAAUGCAGGAGGUACUUGAAGCAGGACAUGGAAUGUACAGUUGUUAGGUACAUGAAGAAUGUAGGCAAUGAUCCUAACAAGAUCAAUCCACUGGUUUGUAAUUUUGCUUUAUAUGCACUUUUUUUCCUCCUGUUGUUUUCCAUGAGUAUAAAUAAGUGUUUAUUCAUUUUGCAUCCAGGUCCCUGUGGAUUUGGGGGAUGCAAUGUUUCACUGCUACUGAAUUUCCAUGCUAAUAAUGAUAUUAUAAACAAGGAUAUGGCUGCCCAAGCUUUCUUUUAUAUGCAAUUUACUUUUACUUCAAUUUUUUUUAUCUUCAGAAUAUUUGUACAGCUGAGGAGAUUUGAUGGCAUGAUGUUGAUGAAAGCCAUAUCUGAUGGACAUUGGACUAAUUGUGUAAAGAGACGCAGAUGCUGCUACUCCCAUCCUUUGCUCUUCCAAAUAGACAUUAGCUUUAUAUUUUAUCAAUCAGGCGUUGGGCUUUAGGAGCGGGUGUAAAGGGUGGACCUGUUGGUUCUGGUUUUAGUUCAGCCCGACACUUAUUUUUAUACUAGUUUAUUUAUCCUUUCAAUGAUAGGUUUUAUUAAUUUCAAAAAUAUGGUUGAAUUAAGAAAUAAUAUGAUAAAAAUAAUAAAAAUAUAUGAAAGAAAUGAUGCCUUACAAUGUAGAAACAAAAUGGUAGCUUCUUUAGGAACAGAAAGGAACAAGAUUUUGAUACCCAAUGAAGAGAAACAAAGAUGAAAUCUUUCUAAUGCAUUUUCUUAUGCAUCCUUUCUAGGAUUCUAACUAGGCAGAGAGAAGAAAAAUAAGUAAAUGAAAAAUGGGAGUUAAUUUCCUUUUCUUAAAAAAUAGUAUUCGUAUAAAAAAUUGGAUAUUUUACUAAAAAAAAAAAGCCCAUUUCCAACAUAAUAUAUGGAAUGAGCCACUUAAAAAAUUAUUUAUAGAAAUAGGUCACUUAAAAAAUAUUUACCGAAAUGGUCCAAAAAACACAAAACCCACCUACGUAAAAGUGUUUUAAGCGGAAAUUUCAGAAAAGCGACUUCUCGUGGGAGCGCUUUUGCCAUGUCAGCAAAAGCGCAUUGACAUGGAAGCGCUUUUGCUGACAUUGCAAAUGACAUACAAAUAACCUAAAUCCCCUAGAAAUAACACAGGCUAAAGAGCUCCCACGAGAAAGCGCUUUUCUGAAAUUUCCCUUUAAAAUACUUCCACGUAAGUGCAUUUUGGGUUUUUUGACCCAUUACAGUAAAUAAUCUUUUAAAUGACCCAUUUUUAUAAAUAAUGUUGGAAAGAGGUUUUUUUUUAAGUAAAAUGUCCCAUAAAAUCACCUUUAUAAACUAUUUUCAUCAAAAUUUAAUUUCCAAGAAAUUCUCUAAGAAGACUAUGAAAAAGAAAAAGGUUGAAAAACGAGUCUGAUCUAAUGCAUUUUCUUAUACUUUCUUUCUAGGAUUCUAACUAGGAAGAGAGAAGAAAAAUAAGUAAAUGAAAAAUGGAAGUGAAUUUCGUUUUCUUAAAAAAUAGUAUUCGUAUAUAAAAUCGGGUAUUUUACUAAAAAAAACCCAUUUUAAACUAAAAUAAAUUAAUUAAAUGCAUAAAUUUUUAAUUUUUCACCAUAAAUAUUUCAUCUCUUAGGCCGCAAAAUAUGUUUAGCUUUUAUUGCAUUACAUUUUAUAUAAUUUUCUUUUUAAAAAAUCUAAUUUAUUGUUUGCUUGAAACCCAAAAAUAUUAAGAACCGGAUUAGAAAUUAGUAGAACAUAAUUAAAUAAUGACCGGACAAUAAGAGUCAUUUGCAAGUAUACAUGCCAAGACUAAGUCAAAAGCUCCAUUUGAUAAAAACCCAUGCAUACUAUAGUUUCUUUGUUAGUCCUACACUAAAAACAUAUAAUUUCCUAAUUAGAAAAUAAAUCUAUGAGCUUUGCCUCUAAAUACAUUAUGUUGUUAUACACUCAAUGUUGAGCUUUGCGGAGCUUUGGAGGGAUUUCAAAUUACUUAGAGAAUAGGUUUUCAAUAGAUUGUGCUUGAGUUGAAUAAUAUGACUACAAUCUAAUUGAUUCAAGAUGAUUAGUUGAGUUUCACAUUCAGCUGUGUUACGAAUUAUAAAGAACUUAUUCAACAUCUUUGGAUGAUUAGGGUGAUACAUGUAUUCAAAUAGGGUAAUUGAGUAGUCGAUGGACCAGAAGCAAUGAUAUUUUCAAGGCGUUAUAUGCAACCCUUGGAUAAAAUUCUUCAAAAAUUAUAUGAUUAUUGCUCUGGAAUAACCUGACCCGACUUAAUCCAAUUAUGAUUUUAUCUUUGUUCAUUAAAAAAAAGAAAGAUAGUAAAUUUAAAUAAUUGAAGAGAAAAUAAAAAUUAAUUAUGUAAAUCACCGAUAAAAAGAAUCUAAUUUUGGACUUAAAAACUAUAUGCUUGUUGCAUUUCAAUUGGUUGGGUAAACUUUGAAAGUGUAAACGAUUGAAAAGUAGCUAAAUUAUAAGACAUUUCAAGUAAUAUGUGAUCAUCAUUUUCAAUCAACGUCCCAAAAUAUAAAUUUUGGAAUUUUUAUAAAUAUUUUAAAUUUUUGUUGAGAGAUAAAUUUUCUAAGUUUCAAAAUAAAUAGGGAUCAAAUGAGUAUGUAUACUAAUCUGUUGUAUGAAUUAUUCAAAUUAUUCGAGUUAUUCAAAUUUUAAAAUUUAACUCGAAGCUUGACUUAUAAAUAUUUUUAUUCAAAUUUUAAAAUUUAACUCGAAGCUUGACUUAUAAAUAUUUUUAUGUUUUAUAUUUAAUAAUAUAAAACAUAAAAAUCUUUAAAUUAAAUAAUAAUUAAAAAUAAUGUAAAAAUGAAAGUCUUUCUCCAAACUUCACCCAAAAACACUUUAAGAAAAUUUCCACUCCUUGUGUCCAUCAAUCCAUCUCAACCAGCUAACAAAUUUACUAUAAUUUUGUCUUUGUAAUGUGACUUCACUUGUACAUAAUGGUUGAACGUUGUUUUUGUGCAAUCAAAAUUUGGACAUUUGUAUGCAACGCCAAAGACUUAAGAUAUUUCAUACUAUCAUUUUUCCCGAUCCAAAGUUAAAGAUAUUACAAAUUUCAAAUUAGAACGUUAUUUAUAAUUUGAGCACUUAAUUAGAACAUUAUGAAAUCUAGAAACUUUUAAAAAAAAUUUAUACUAUUUUUUAUAAUUUUUAUACUUUUUUAAUAAUUUUAAUUUUUAAAAAUAGAUUUUUUUUUAAUUUUUAAAAUUUUAAAAAAUAAUUAAAUGAUGAGGUGUCAUUCAUGUGAUAAUCCAUGUAUAUGCCACAUUAGCAAAGUUAAAAAAUAGUUAACAUUUCUAUCAAUUUUGGGGAACUUGAUAAAAACACAAGUUUAAAAAUUAAAAAACAUGAAAAAAUAAAUGAAUGACUAAAAUAACUUUUUUUUUGUAAAACUGGAGGCCAAAUAAGUCAUUAUGGCAAAAAAAUUAAAAAUUUAUUUUCUCCUCCAAAAGUAGAAUCUAAAGUUAAGCAAAUAUUAAACAAUAAUAUUUACGGACUUCAACAUCGAAAAUGUAUGAAAUUUAUUGUUGUUCAAUGAAUUUAUUGUUUAAUAAUUACUUUUGUUUUGGCCAUUGGGAAAAUUUUCUAGCCCUUAUAAUAUAUAUAUCCAUAUUAUUGGAUGUGCUUCUUUUAUUCAAUUACAUUGCCUAAGGUUGCUUAUUGCGAUUAUGGUAACUUGAUGCAUCAUCCCCUAACUAAAUCUUCUCAUUUUCAGUGUUAGAAUCCUCCUCUUUAAAAUUUGGGUGUCAUGUUGCUUUUUGAGCAUUACUAUGUCAUUCUCCUCUUAAACACGUCGAAAAAUCUAGUAGGAGCUUCUACUUCCGAUUCUGGAGAAGUUGCCUCCCUUGAACUCAACAAAACCCUAUCAGCUUCCGGAGAUGCUACCUCAUCAAAAGCCUUCUCCUCUUGUCCUACUACAAAUUGGAUUGAGAACACUAAAGCCAAUGAGAACACAACCAAAAAAAACCUUCGCCAUCUUUUUUAUUUCCAAAAAGGUUAAGAAAUAAGUAAAGAUAUAUUUUUAUUUAUGCUUAAGGAUGAAAAUGAGAAGAAAUUUAAAGAGUUUAAAAUGAGAUAUUUUGGGCGAAUCUAUGGGUCGUUGACUAGUCCAGUGCCUAAUAGCCAUACACGACAAAAAUACAUAUAACUUCUCUCCCCAUUUUCAAUGGCUAUGUUUAUCACUAUUAUUGCUGGGUUCAAUUUACUUCACUUUGCUUGACUCGAAGACGUUGUGGAUGAUCGAUGAUGUGUUUUAAAAUUAUUCUGACCUUCUCUGUUUGCAUCACCUGUACCAAUCAAAAACACUCAUUCUUUUAUAGUUCAAUAUAUUUUCCAUGAAACAACUUCGAAAGUCAAGCAAAAUCUAAAUAACUUUCUUCUUCUAUAUCGAAUACUGACUGUUAAAUUACCUUGGAUUUAAAGUAUAUUCUUCUACUUGUCUAUGGUUAUUGAUCAUAGUACCGGUUGUCAAAUCGUCGCUUGGAGCUAACUACCUAGGCUUUUCAAAAGAAAAAAAAUUUAACAGCCAAAUGACCAGGCCGUUCUUGACAUUUUUGGGGCUCUAAGCAAAACAAUAAAUUGGGGCCCCAAAUUAUAAGAUGUAAUACAAUAUAACAAAAAAAUUGGGGCCUUUUUUUCUGCAUGCAAUAAAUUAGAAGGUUUAAAAGGUUGAAGAUUUUUAUUUGAGACCUUUCCAGCCCUAGGUGUCUGCACUCGAACUACCCCUAGGGUCGGGCCUGCAAGUGACAUAAAUAAAAAUCUUCUGAAUAGUUUAGUAAUCAUUUUUAAAGUCAAGUAAAUAAUUAACCGUAAUUCUUCAGAAAAAUAUUUGAACAUAAAAUUUAUGAAUUUUUCUAUAAUAUAUUAUUACAUUUUUUUCGCAUUUUCAAUAGUUAUAUAUACAAUGAUAAAAUGAUAAUUUAAUCUCAUUGAGUGGGGCAAGGUAAGAAAUUACCAUAAUUGCUCCAUACUUGCUAUUUAAAAAAAAAAAUUCACCUCGCCCUGCUCUACAUCCACUUUUGAAAAAAAAUCCUCUAUAUUUGGAGUGGAUAGAUUCGGAAUCCAUAGAGUGAUUCGGGUCUUACCAUCCCUAGUUACACAUCUAUACUAUUAUUUUAUUCUCAUUGGAACCAAUCUCAUUGCCCAACCAAAUGGACCCGAAAGUUUUAAAUGAUAACAACAACAAUGGUAUAGAUAAAUGGAUUUAUACGUGAAUGUGGUUUUUUUUUUAAGAAAACUGAAAGUGACAAUAUAAGUACUAUAUUCCUAUCUAACAUAACUCAUCCUGUCAAUUGAGUUUUGAUUCGAUUAGUAUCAGUGCUAAUUGUAGCAAUCAAGAAAAUGUUGGUUUAAGCACAACUAAUUAAGUGUAUUUUUAAUCUGAUUUAAGAGUUAAGGGUGAAUUAUGAGUAGGAGUAAUGAUAAGUGAUAAAAGUAACAUAUUUUAAUCUCGUUCUUAAUGCAUUUUUGGAUGAUUAUUUAUGCAAAUUGGUGAAUUUUAUGCUCUUGAUCCUUUAAAUUCAUGUUUUUAUACUUAGGAGAGAAUUUGGGAGCAAAAGGAGCGGAAAACAAGUAAAAAUCAGACAAAUAGAGCAUAUUUCAGGAGCCACAUAGGCUAGACACACGACCGUGUAAGCCACACAGGCUGGCAGACGGCCAUGUGCCAGACUGUGUCAAUUAUGCGAUUUGUUUCCCAAACAUGCAGAAAAAUGCAAUUUUUAGGCUUUCGUGGCAUUCUAAGUCUAUAAAUACCAAAUAUAAUACGAGAAGUGGGGGAGAUCAGAGAGUAUUGAAGGAAACAACUCGAAGAACACCAUUGAAGCCAACUUUGAAGUAGAUUUCUAUCAAGAUUGAAGAUCUCCUUUUAAUUUCUUUGAAGCUUUUAUGAGUUUCGUUAUCUCUUAUGGUUAUAUUGACUUUGAGAUUGUAAUACCCCGAAAAUUUCUACAGUAAGAAAGUAAGAUAAUAUCUAUGAUAUAGUAAAAUAAGGAAAUAAAGUGAUAAAAAGGUUAAUUUUGAGAUUUGAUGGCAUGAUGUUGAUGAAAGCCAUAUCUGACCGAUAUUGGACUGAUUGUGUAAAGAGACGCAGAUGCUGCUACUCCCAUCCUUAGCUCUUCCAAACAGACAUUAGCACGCGUUGGGCUUUAGGACCAGGUGUAAAGGGUGGACCUGUUGGUUCGGGUUUUAGUUCAGCCCGACACUUAUUUUUAUACUAAUUUAUUUAUCCUUUCAAUGAUAGUUUUAUUAAUUUCAAAAAUAUGGUUGAAUUAAGUAAUAAUAUGAUAAAAAUAAUUAAAAUAAUUAAAAUAUAUGAAAGAAAUGAUGCCUUACAAUGUGGUGUGGUUUUUAGUAUUGGCAAACAAUCUAAAACAUUAGAAAUAAAUAUGUGACCUUAAUAAAAAAAAUCAAUUCUCUUAUUGUAAAACAUUUAUAAGAAUUUAUUCAAGGGACAAUUCUAUCAUUGUAAGACAUUUAAAAGAAUUUAUUUAAGGGAAAGGAUGGUAUGAAACUGUGAUUUCAUGUUAUCUCUAUCCCUUCCUAAUAAGAGGAGAAUGACAAAUUAAAUUUUUAUUCAUUGAUUUGUCUGAUUUGUAGCAUUUUUAAUUGGGUUUGAAUUUUUUCAAGAAUUAAAAAAAAAACUUUUGAAAUUGAAAUUAGUUUUUUCAAAGAAUUAAAAAAUUGUUAAUAAUGUAAGACAUCUCGUCAGUCUCAUUUAUCUUUGAUAAUUUCAAUUAAAUCUAAAAAAAAUAUUGAUGUGGAAAUUUAAAUAUGUUUCUUUCAAAGAAAUUACUAAGAAGAGGAAAACUAAACAUUAUAUCAUCAAAAUUUCCACAACUUGUGCCCAUCAAUCCAUCUCAACUACCUAAGAAACUUGCUAAACAUUGUUUUGAUGGGGUAAAAAAGAUUUAGACAUUUGCAUGCAGUGCCAAAAGGCUAAGACUAAGUCCAAUAAUAUCUCAUUCCAUAAUUUUCUAUUGAUUCCAUACACUUUAAGUUCAUUGAAAAGUCAUCAAAGUUAUGAGAAAAUUUAGUCUUUGAGCCAUCAAUGAUCUAUCUCAAUCAGUUAAAAAAAAUCACCACAAUUCCAUUUUUUUUUAUUAAUUGACUAAAAUAAAAUUAGUGGUACAACAUUAUUUUGAUGCAGUAGUGAUCGGGCUUAGUCCAAAAUUAAAAAUAAUGUAUGGAAAGUACAAAUCUGUGUAUAAAUAAGUUGUAUGCAUGGAAACAAUCCUCCUUCACAGCCAGCAAACAUGAAAGCCAUAUCUGAUGGACAUUGUACUGAUUGUGUAAAGAGACACAGCUGCUGCUGCUACUCCCAUCUUUAGCUGGCAUAUUGGGUUUUUAUUUUAUCAAACACAUGUUGGGUUUUUGUACAGCCUCGAACUUAUUUUGUACCAAUCUGUUUCGUAGAAAUUGUGUGGUCAUCAUAAUUUUCACUCCAUAUCCCCAUCAAUCCAUCUCAAGAGCAACCCAACUACGGUUGGUCAAAAUUAGAAGGGAAAUUACCAAGAUCAUGGGUGAAAUGCAUUCAUCUUAGAACUUAUACGUGUUGGUUGUUAAACCUCAACAAACCAGCAAAUACCAUAAUUUUUGUUCUGAUCGUCCAUUGCAGCACCUAUGGGUUUCUUCAUCUUUAAUUCUGCUAAAGAAGACGGGAUUUUUAUAGCUUCAAUUGUUUUAUCAAACCCAUAGUCCUCAUCUUUUACAAUCUUCUUCACCACUCUCCCUAGUUCCUUCUUUAACUUUGUUUCUUCCCUUGUUUCUACUGACUCCUUUUUUUCAGCCGUUGAAACAAAAUGGUAGCUUCUUUAGGAACAGAAAGGAACAAGAUUUUGAUACCCAAUGAAGAGAAACAAAGAUGAAAUAGCUUCUUUAGGAACAGAAAUGAACAAGAUUUUGAUACCCAAUGAAGAGAAACAAAGAUGAAAUCUUUCUAAGAAGACUAUGAAAAAGAAAAAAGGUUGAAAAAGGAGUCUGAAAUUUUUAAGCAGUUUUUUUUGAAAGAAAUGAAAAGCGUCCAAUACAUCCCCAAUAAUUCAUUUUUCGUUUAGUUUAGUGAUUUCAAUUAAACCAAGAAAGUUUAAAAAGUUCAAUCUUUUUCAAAUUGUGUUGAAAUUGCACUGCUUCUCUAUUACUUGAUUUAUAUAUUUCUGUGGUUUUUAAGGAAACUAGCAACCCCGGCAAUCGGGUUAUUUGAGAGUACAAUCGUCUUGGAUUAGAAGGGGCUUAAAUAUAUAUAUAUUUUUCAGUUAUUAAUGUAAGAAAAAAAUUAUAUAUAAACUUUAAUUUAAUGUGCAAUUGUAUAUAGCAACCCAUGCAUACUAUCGUUUCUCUGUUAGUUCUACACUAAAAACAUAUAAUUUCCAAAAUAAAGCUAUGAGCUUUGUCUCUAAAUACAUUGAGUUGUUCUACACUCAAUGUCGAGCUUCGUGGAGUUUAGGAGGGAUUUUAAAUUACUUAGAGAUAAAUUUUCAAUGAAUUGUACUUGAGAUGAAUAAUAUGAUUACAAUCUAAUUGAUUCAAGAUGAUCAGUUGAGUUCCACCAUUCAGCUGUGUUACGAACUAUUAAAGAAAUUAUUCAACGUCUUUGGAUGAUUAAGGUGACACAUGUAUUCAAAUAAGGUAAUUGAGUAGUCGAUGGACUGAAAGCAAUGAUAUUUUCAAGGCGUCUAGGCAUGUAUAGUUAUAUGCAACCAUUGGAUAAAUUUCUUUAAAAGUUAUAUGAUUAUUGCUCUGGAAUGACCUGACCCGACUUAAUCCAAUUAUGAUUUUAUCUUUGUUCAUGUAAAAAGAAAGAAAGAAAGAAAAUAAUUGAAGAGAAUACAAUUUAAUUAUGUAAAUCACCGAUAAAAAGAAUCUACUUUUGGACUGAAGAAACUAUAUGGUGGUUGCAUUUCAAUUGGUUGGACAAACUUUGAAAGUGUAAAGGAUUGAAAAGUAGCUUAUAUUAUAAGACAUUUCAACUAAUCUGUGAUCAUCAUUUUCAAUCAACCCAAAAUAUAAAUUUUGGAAUUUUUAUGAAUAUUUUAAAGUUUUGUUGAGAGAUAAAAUUUUUAAGUUUCAAAAUUAAUAGGGAUCAAAUGAGUCUGUUGUAUGAAUUAAUCAAAUUAUUCGAGUUAUUCAAAUUUUAAAAUUUAACUCGAAACUUGACUUAUAAAUAUUUUUAUAUUUUAUAUUUAAUAAUAUAAAACAUAAAAAUUAAAUAUAAAACAUAAAAAAUAUUUAAAUUAAAUAAAAAUUAAAAAAUAAUAUAAAAAUGAAAGUCUUUCUCCAAACUUCACCCAAAAACACUUUAAGAAAAUUUCCACUCCUUGUGUCCAUCAAUCCAUCUCAACCAGCUAACAAAUUUACUAUAAUUUUGUCUUUAUAAUGUGACUUCACUUGUACACAAUGGUUGAAUGUUAUUUUUGUGCAAUCAAAAUUUAGACAUUUGGAACAAAAAGAUGAGCUCUCUCUCUCUGAAAAUUCUGAAAAUGAGAAAUCUAUUUCUGAGGAGUUGAUCCCCAAGAAAGUUCGUUUCAGAGGCGAAGAUGUUGUUGCUAACAAUAUUAUGAUGAUCGACUCGUCACCGGAAAAACCUAUCUCGUGGAAGGACAUGCUUGUGGGCCAAUCGUCAAAGGAGAAUCUCAUUGAUUUGGAAGGCAAAGAAGAUCUAGAAAUUUUGGAAGGAGAUAUUCAAAAAUCCUUUGUGAAUGGCGUACCCUCUAUCUCCUUCUCGGAUAGGAUUCAAAAAAUUCUUAUUCAAGGUAUGGAUAACACAAUGAUUUUAAAGCUUCUUGGUCGUAAUAUUGAUUUUUCGGUUUUGCAGAAUAAACUGUAUAAUCUGUGGAAACCAUCAGCGCCGAUACAUAUGAUGGACAUAGAAAAUGGUUAUUUCUUGGUUAAAUUUCAGAACAAAUUGGACUGUGAAAAGGCGCUUUCUGAAGGUUCUUGGAUCAUCUUUGGACAAUACUUAACAGUCCAACCUUGGUCUUUAGCUUUUGAUCCCACACAAGCUUACCCUAAUGUUGUGAUGGCAUGGAUCAGAUUCCCUGGUUUACCGGGGUAUUUAUACAAUCACAAGAUCAUCACUGAGAUAGGGGGAACGGUUGGAAAAGUGGUUAAAUUGGAUAUGAACACAGAUAAUAGGACUAGAGGACGUUUUGCCAGAUUGGCUGUUUAUAUUAACCUGGAAAAGCCGCUGGUAUCCCAUAUUCUGAUCAACGGCCGAAAGCAGAAUGUUGAAUACGAAUCCUUAUCUACAAUUUGUUUUCACUGUGGGAGAUUUGGGCAUGUGGAGAAUUCUUGCCCUUUUAAAAUUUCUGAAAGCCUUACUGAAAAGGAGAAUGCCCCAUCGGAUUUGUCAUCGGAGUUUCAGAACACGAACAAGGUUGAUGAGGAAAAGGAAAACGGGAAUUUUGGUCCUUGGAUGAUCGUUGAAAAGAAAUCAAGGCGUAAAAUUAGGGAAAAGGUGAAUAAUUCUCUCAACAACCCACAAAGUGGAAAAGAAGGAACUCGUUUUAGAGUCCUUAAUGAUGAAGAUUCGGUCAAAAAGGAUGAUGAAGGUUUUAUGAUGGAUUCCAGGCGUGAUAAAGGUAAAGAAAUUUCACAAGAUAUUUCUAUGGGUAAAGUUCCAAAUGCUUUCUUUAACGGCAAAUUUGAGUGGAGAAAAAGCAAUAAUAAUAAGUCAAAAGAUGUGGGUUUGAAAGAUAGUGGUGGCCCCACCUCUAAAGUUAAUGGUAGGCCAAUUUUGGAGCCCAACAACUCCUUUUCUAUUCUGAAGGAAAAUUCUCCCAAUAUAGUUAAGGCUUUUAGCAGUUUGGGCCAUGGAGACUUAACUGCGGGUCAGGCCCGAGGAGAUUUGGGCUCACCUGCUCCGGAACUGGUAGCCCAACAUCUCUUAACUGCUGAUGGAAGCAGCAGUCGGUCUUUUGCUGCAUCUGAAAUGCAAAAAAUCCCAGGAGACAGUGUGGGGGUCAGGUCUGAAGGAGAAAGUUCUGAAAACCGGACAGUUUUAAUGGAUUCAAGUCGGGAUAGUAUAGCUGUUUCUCUAGAUGUUGGAAAUCUAGAUUCUAAUCGACACUCGGCGGUGGUUUUUCAUAACAGCUCUCAAAGCAAGGAAAACAUCAUUAUCCAACCCCCAAAAAAUUUUGAUUCUUCUCUGGUGCUAUCCUCCGGUUCGGGUAAAGGUAUUAAGAACAGAGCAAGAGGUCAAGCUAAGAAACAGGCUAAGAUCCUUCAUGGCAGCAAUACUAGAUUCAAAAUUUCAGGAUCCCAGCGAACAUCUUUGAAGGAGUCGAUGGAACACCUCGCCGAGAGCAUCUCGUCCUUUGCACCUCCUAAUCUUGGGGUUGUAAAUAGAGGGGGCUCUGGUGUGCAAAUAGAGGGAGACAAUGCUCCUGGACAGUAAGGAUAUUCUUUUAAUCCUUAUAGGUUUUGUAUGUUUUGAUAAGGUGAUAUUGGGAUAUUGGUUCAUUUCACUUUUUCAUUUAUUUUUAUAUCUUAUUAUGUCUUUAAAUUUAAAAAUUUUUACAUGGAAUUGUCAAGGGUGUGCUAGCAGAAAGUUUUUACGAGUUUUUCAGGAAUACAAUGCAGAGUACAGGCCUGAUAUUGUUUGUUUGGUGGAACCGAGAGUGAGUGGUUUUAAGGCUAAUCUUAUUAUUGAAAAAUUGGGGUUUAACUUUUCACAUCGGGUUGAAGCUAUUGGUUUUUCAGGUGGCAUAUGGAUUGGUUGGAAGGAUUCUAUACAAAUUCAUAUUGUUUAAAAUCAUCCGCAAUUUAUUUUCUUACGUGUUAAUAAUAGUAUUCCUAAUAAUUCAUUUUUUAUUUCCUUUGUUUAUGGCAGUCCGGAUAGAUCUAAAAGAAAGCUUCUUUGGGAUGACUUAAAAUCUACAAAUUCUAACCUUUCUUCUCCUUGGCUAAUUAUGGGAGAUUUCAAUGCUAUCUUAUCUUCUUCUGAUAAAAAGAGUCCUGUCUCUAUUGGUAAGCGCUGUGAUUUAUUUGGUAAUUUUGUUGAGUCUUGUGAGUUGCAGGAUUUGGGGUUUAAUGGACCUGCAUUCACUUGGCAAAGAGGUGGUACAUUUGUUAGACUUGAUCGGGCCUUAGCCAAUGAUGCUUGGGUGUCUGCUUUUCCUCAAUACUCUGUCCAUCAUCUUACUCGUAUCAAGUCAGAUCAUAGGCCCCUCUUGUUAUCUACUGCAUCCGACCUUAACAUUUCUCGAAGCAGACCGUUCAGGUUCUUAGCGGGAUGGACGAAACAUAGUGAUUUCCCCAACCUUGUUAAAGAAAAGUGGAACUUCACAGGUAAUAUGUUUGAAUCUUUGAAAAAUUUCACUUUUUUUGCUAAAGAUUGGAACAGGAAUAUUUAUGGUUUUUUGGGUACUCGUAAGAGAAAUCUUAUGAGAUCUCUUAAUAAUAUCCAAAAAACCAUGGAGCAUUAUUCCUCUACAUAUUUAGCUGGAAAAGAAUUGGAAAUUCGGGAGGAGCUGGAAAAUGUGCUUGAUCAUGAAGAUCUACUUUGGAGACAAAAGGCUCGCUGUGAUUGGCUUCAUUUGGGGGACCGAAAUACAAAGUUUUUUCAUAAUCGCACGAUGAGGAGAAGGAAACUCAAUCGUAUCAUAACCUUACGCGUUGAUAAUGGGGAUUGGUGUACAGAUCAAGAUAUCGUGCAGGCUAAGGCGGUGGAAUUCUUUGAAGGGCUCUUUGGAGAGGAUUCUCCUACGUUGGGGGAUACUCCAAAUGUUGGUUUUCCUCGCUUUAACUCUUCUGAGAUUAAUUUCCUAGAGGCUCCAAUUUCUAAUGAGGAGAUUAGAAGGGCUUUGUUUGACAUGGCUCCUUUGAAAGCUCCUGGAAGUGAUGGUUUCCAUGCUCACUUUUUCCAAAGCCAAUGGGAUAUUCUUGGGAAUGAUGUGUGUCAGUGGGUCAAAGGAAUUUUUGAUGGACGUCCGAUUGAAGUUGAAUUGAACAAUACACUAAUCGUGUUAAUUCCCAAAAAAGAGAACCCUGAGGACUUUAGCCACUUUAGGCCUAUUAGCCUUUGUUCUGUUCUCUACAAGUUGGUAAAGAAAAUUAUUGCGAAUCGGUUUAAAGUUAUAUUUCCUAAGCUUAUAUCCCAAGAACAAGUUGGAUUCAUAGCUGGGCGUAACAUUUCUGAUAAUAUUAUCUUAGCUCAAGAGAUCAUUCACUCUAUGCGCUGUAAUAGGAAAGGAAGGAGGUGGAUGGCUAUUAAGUUAGAUUUGGAGAAAGCUUACGAUAGAGUUAGUUGGGACUUUAUAAGAGCUUCUUUGGUUGAUGCUGGAAUUCCUAUCUUCUUAAGGAAAGUAAUCAUGUCUGCUAUUUCUUCCUCUUCCAUGCAAAUUCUAUGGAACGGGACACCUACUAAAAAGUUCAAACCUAAGAGAGGUAUUCGCCAGGGUUGUCCUUUAUCACCUUAUCUAUUUGUGCUAUGCAUGGAAUGGUUAGGACAUUUUAUUCGGACUGAAAUUAACUCGGGGAAAUGGGAUCCAAUUCAUCUUUCUCGUACAGGUCCUUCAAUUUCUCAUUUGUUCUUUGCGAAUGACUUAGUUAUCUUUUGUAAAGCUCAGUUCGACCAAGCUAGUCUCCUGGAUAAUAUUCUAACUCGAUUUUGUGUGAUCUCAGGACACAAAAUAAGUGUUAGGAAAAGUAGCAUUUUCUAUUCCAAAAACACAGAAGAGAAUGUUCGUAAUCAAAUUAACCAACUUUUUGGAUUUCACGAAGUCCAAAACCUUGGCAUCUAUUUAGGUGUUCCUCUCUUACACCAAAGGAUUUCCAAAAGUACCUUGAAUUUUAUUGUGGAUAAAGUGAGGAAGAAAUUACAGAGUUGGGAUGCUAGGAAUCUAUCUAUUGCUGGUAGAAUCACUUUGGCCCAAUCAGUUCUUCUUUCUAUUCCUAAUUAUUUUAUGCAGUCCUUGAUGAUCCCGAAAGGUAUUUGUGCAGACAUUGAAAGAGUGGUCAGGCAAUUUAUUUGGGGUAGUACUGAUGGUCAUCUGAAAAUGUCUUUAGUGGGUUGGAAUUCUAUUUGCCAACCAAGGUCUCGAGGAGGUCUUGGUUUCAGACAUUUGGAAGAUCAAAAUUCAUCUUUUCUUAUGAAGAUUGGAUUUAAUCUUGUUUCUAAAAGUAAUGCACUUUGGGUUCGUGCUCUUCGUGCCAAAUAUGGUUGGAAAGACCAACUCCCGGAUUCUAUUAAAAGAAACCAAUGCUCUCUUUUAUGGAGGGCACUUUCUAAGAUAUGGCCAAUCUUUAGAGAUAAUAUUGCCUGGUCUAUUGGAGACGGUGCUACUGCUAGAUGCUGGAAAGAUCCUUGGAUUCUAGGUAUGGGACCUUUAAUUUUAAAAAUUCACCAUCCUGCUAACCUUGAUUUGGAUUGUUGUGUUAGGGAGAUGGUCAACUCAGAUGGUAGCUGGAAUUUGGAUUUAUUUCGUGCCUGGGUGCCUGAAGUUAUAAUAAACAGAAUUGUCAGCAUUCCUCCUCCUCACCCUUACUCUGGUUCGGAUAGAAUUAUUUGGACUCAGUCCGCAUCUGGUGUCUUCUCAGUUCGUAGUGCCUAUUGGCGUUUGAAAGAGAAUUCUUGGAAUCCUCAGGAGGAUUACUGGAAGAUUGUUUGGAAAUAUCAAGGUCCUCAGAGAGUACGAGUCUUCCUUUGGCUUGCUUUCAAUCAAAAACUUCUUACAAAUUCGGAACGAGCUAGGAGGGGAAUCUAUCAUUGUAGCUCUUGUUCUAUAUGCGGACAUGAUAUUGAAGACUUGGUCCAUGUGCUUAGAGAUUGUCCUUCCGCGCAAGAUGUGUGGCGGCUUGUGAUUCCUGAUCAGUUAAAACAAAGGUUUUUUUCCAUUUCUUUUCAGGAUUGGCUUUUUCUUAACCUUUAUUUUAAUGAAAGAUUGCAGGAUUAUGGUCUCACGUGGUCAUGCCUGUUUGGAUUAGUCGCUUGGCGUAUAUGGAAGAAUAGAAAUCUAUACAUUUUCCAGCAUUUAUCUUGGACAGCAACGGAAGUAGUACAAGUCUCUAGUUGUUGGGGCCGUCACUACACCUUCCAUACUGAAGAUCAAUCUAAGAGCAAGCCGGGCUCUUCCUUGAUGAUCAAUUCAGCUGACAAUUGGGUGUUUUUAUUCACUGACGGAGCUGUAGCAAGAGAUUCUGGCUAUGCUGCAUCAAGAGGAGUGGCUCAGGACCGAGAUGGAAAUUGGAUAGUGGGUUUUAACCGAUUCCUUGGCAUGUGCUCCCCUUUCGAAGCAGAAGUUUGGGCUAUUCUUGACGGGAUCCUCAUUCUACUUAAUAAGGGCUAUAAACGUUUCACUAUUAUGACAGAUAAUCUGGAAGUUGCUCAGAUCUUGUCUAAUAUGGAAUUGGAAGACUCAGGGAUUACUGUGCUCCGAAGAACUCUUCGUAUUUUGCAUUCAGCAGGGGAGUGGAGGAUAAAGCACAUUCCAAGAAUUCAAAAUUUCGUAACAGAUCGUCUUGCUAAACUCGGUUUAAGUUGGAAAUCAAGCUUAAAAAUUAUUGAUGAGGCUCCCAAGGAUCUUUUAGAUUUAAUUCAUGCAGAUAAAACGAAUGGUUGCUUUAUGUAACUGUUGUUUUUAUUUCACCAAAAAAAAAAUUUAGACAUUUGCAUGCAACGCCAAAGACUUAAGAUAUUUCAUAUUAUCAUUUUUCUUGAUCCAAAGUGAACGAUAUUAAAAAUUUCAAAUUAGAACGUUAUUUAUAAUUUGAGAACUUAAUUAGAAUAUUAUGAAAUCUAGAAACUUAAUUUCAAAUUCGAUGUAUAAUUUUGAGAUGUAAGGUGAAUUAAGUCUUUAAUAAAGCAUAACAUAUUUAUAAGUUCGAUACUCAUUAACAAAUUGAUUUUAUAUUAUAAGUUACAUUUUAAUUAUUUUUGGUGCUAUAACAAAAUUUCCUUAAAAGAUUGCAUUGUAAUUUUUUUAUUUAAAAAAUUAAAUGAUGUAGAAAUAAUUAUGUAUAACAUAAAAAAUGUAAAGUUUGGUUGAGUCUAAAAUAUUUGUAACAUAAAUUUUUUCUACAAAGUCCAUACUUAAAAUAUAUAAUUUAAACUCAAAAUAUCGGUUGAUUAUCAUCUUUGCUUAUUUUAUGCGUAGUGAUGGUUCUAAUAAGAUUUAAAGUACAUUAUUAUUGCUAUAAAUUUGUCUUUUUAAAUGACUUAGAUAUAUAGACUAAGGAGUACUGGGCAAGACAACUAAACCCUUAGCAUUAAUAAGAAAAAUGACAUCAAUAAUAUAUUAAAAUCUCAUUCUUCAAAAUUAAGUGUGAAUUUAACAACUUAUUUCUAAUACUAAUAAUAAAUCAUUUAUGCUUUAAAUAAUAAUAAUUAUUAUUAUUAUCCCUUGCCGGAAAAGGUUGACCAACAAGACUUAACUAAAGUGGUGGAACAUUAUUUUGAUGCAGUAUUGAUUGGGCAAAAAGACUUCGAAAUUGCAUGCAAUGCCAAACAUGAAAACUACACAUUUGUCUAUAAAUAUGUUGUAUGCCAAGCACACUCCUUCUUCACACCCACCCAACAUGAACACUCUUCAUUUCCUUAUUUCACUCUUCCUCUUCUCAUGCUUCCUUUCUCUUGUCUUGUCUUUUUCACCUCCUCAAACUCAUCUCCCUAAGCAAUGCCUUGAUGACCAGAGAGCUCCUCUCCUGCAAUUGAAGCAUCAUCUUUACUAUGCCCCUAAUUUUACUUUCUCUUCCAAAUUUGACCUCUGGGAUGUCAACAAUCCUUGUUGUUCUUGGGAAGGAGUCACUUGUGAUGCUUAUGGUCAUGUCGUUGGCAUUGAUCU
rnacentral:lncRNA from 1 species